rnacentral:rRNA from 1 species
CGUUGUUCGGAAUUACUGGGCGUAAAGGGCUCGUAGGCGGCCAACUAAGUCAGACGUGAAAUCCCUCGGCUUAACCGGGGAACUGCAUCUGAUACUGGAUGGCUUGAGAUUGGGAGAGGGAUGCGGAAUUCCAGGUGUAGCGGUGAAAUGCGUAGAUAUCUGGAGGAACACCGGUGGCGAAGGCGGCAUCCUGGACCAACACUGACGCUGAGGAGCGAAAGCCAGGGGAGCAAACGGG